rnacentral:sRNA from 1 species
UCAGUUCAGUGCUUUGCUGCUGGCAUUCGCCUCUGUAUUCUGGCUGUGUCUCUCAGGAGAGAUCUACAUCCGUAUGCCCAGAUUUUCUGAUUAUCUCUAUGACAUCUCUUUAGCCGUCCCCCAAAAGGAGCAUUUCUUUCCAGGAAAGAAGACAAUUGAGGGGACACACUAUAGCCACCGUCUCCCAGAAUGCACACCCUACAGCAGAAGUUGCUUUAGUAUUUCCAGCCUGUAAAUACUGCCUUCAGUCAUACAGGGCCCUGCAGAAAAAUGGAUGGAAUGUUCUUCCAGUGAGUGACACAGCAUGACCUAAGAGUGAAGUCAUCGGCACUGGUGAACACUUAGCCAUCAGCAAAAGGAACUGUAAGAGGAACAUCUUGCCCUGGGGUUUGCUUUGGUGUGCGUGGUUGUACCCCCCUACCCCAUGGCCUUUUUGGGUGUCUGCUCAGGGUCAUCUCCCCUUGAAGUGAGAGUACCCCGACGUGUCAGAAUUAAACUCCUCUUGCUUUUACAUCAAUCACUGUCUCCAUGAGUCUCAUUCAAGAGGUCCUGGAAGAGGUUCAAUUCAGACCUCACAGUACCAGGGAUCAGACCUAGGGCCUUUUACAUUCUGAGCAAAGCCUUUCCCCCUGAGCUGUGCCCUAACCCUCACCCAACACUUGCCCUUGAACCAUAGCAAAGGAAAACUUGGAUUCCAAUUAACAAUCAAUAAUGAAAUGCCCUGCCUUACAGCCCCAGCCCCAAAUGAGUGACUCUUGCUUUUAAAGGAAGCUUUUUCUGUGCACUGUAAUAACUGACCCAUUGUGACACACAUCACUCCCUAGCCACUGAGGGGGCAACUGUGGCCUGGCACACCAGAUAAAGGACUGGCUUUGAAAUUGAGUAAGAGCCCAAAUGCCAGAUCUACAAGUAACUUUGAGAUCGCAGACAUUUCACCUCCCAGUUUCCGCUUCCUUACCAGAAGGACAGCAGCCCUUCUCAUACAGUAGUGACAGAGGGCUUGAUGAUCUCCAGAUGGGCAGCUGCAUCCUAACAGGACAUUCAUCUGACGGCUCCCCAAAGGAGGAACCAGUCAUUUGGACACUAGAUUUUUUUGUUUUUCAGAGGGUUAAAAUGGUGACCAGUGGCCUUUACUGUCAACCCUAAUACCUUGGCAUGUUGGUGAGAAAGGAAGGGAAAGGAGGAUACAGAAUUGCACACAACUCGUUGAGCCUCAAGUUGUCUGAAAGGAGAGCCGGAAGGAGUCUAAGGCAGCCAUGCCUUGUGGAGCUUAGGGUGCUCUGAGAAGGGAGGCUGGGGGCCUAUGGCUUGAGAAUCUGAAAGAUAAGAAGGCUGUGUUCACAUAUUUUAAAAUGGAAGGAGUACAGGAGAGAUGUGCAGGAGCAUGCUGGAGAAUGCUCAGCAGUUAAGAGUACCUGCCAUUGGAUCCAGGUUCAAUUCCCAGCAUGCACAUGGCAGCU